CCCCGCACACGCCGCGCGCCCGGGCCUCGGGGACCGCGCAGGGCGAGGCCGGGCUGUCCUCUUCCCGUGCCGCGUCGCUACAGCCGAGCGACAUGAAGGCGACGCCGAACGCCAUCCCCGAGUCCCGCCGAAGAGCCUGGCUCUGAACAGGUCCCAGCGCUCGGGGUCCCAGAAGCCGCAGACCUUUUCCCGGAUCUGAGAGCCGCGGAGGGAGGGAGGGACUUUUGUACUGAACUGUGGUGAAUAUUUCUUCAGUUGUCAUUCAUUGGCAGUGGUAGAAAGUUCUGGAACUUAAUCAGUGGUGACCAUGCUUCAGCCUCUGGAAGACCUGGACUCCAAGCACCUGAUUUUAUGAAAAGCUGUCUAGGAGGUAGGCCCUGGCCUCCUCCAGUGUGGCUGUGGUGACCCUCCCUGCAGCUGUGAUCCCCCCACCCUGCAGCUGUGGUCCUCCCCUGCAGCUGAGUUGUUCCCCCUGCAGCUGUGAUCCCCCCACCCUGCAGCUGUGGUCCUCCCCUGCAGCUGAGUUGUUCCCCCUGCAGCUGUGAUCCUCCCUGCAGCUGUGAUCCCACUUGCAGCUGUGGUCCUCCCCUGCAGCUGUGAUGUUCCUCCUGCAGCUGUGAUCCCCCCACCCUGCAGCUGUGGUCCUCCCCUGCAGCUGAGUUGUUCCCCCUGCAGCUGUGAUCCUCCCUGCAGCUGUGAUCCCACUUGCAGCUGUGGUCCUCCCCUGCAGCUGUGAUCCCACUUGCAGCUGUGGUCCUCCCCUGCAGCUGUGAUGUUCCUCCUGCAGCUGUGAUCCCCCCACCCUGCAGCUGUGGUCCUCCCCUGCAGCUGAGUUGUUCCCCCUGCAGCUGUGAUCCUCCCUGCAGCUGUGAUCCCACUUGCAGCUGUGGUCCUCCCCUGCAGCUGUGAUCCCACUUGCAGCUGUGGUCCUCCCCUGCAGCUGUGAUGUUCCUCCUGCAGCUGUGAUCCCCCCACCCUGCAGCUGUGGUCCUCCCCUGCAGCUGAGUUGUUCCCCCUGCAGCUGUGGUCCUCUCCCUGAAGCUCUCCCAAGGCGACUCUGGCUAUCUCAGUGCAGCAGCAGGAAGAAAUGGCACAGAGUUGCUGUGGUGGUGGGCGUUGUGUCGUUCCCCUGAAGGGAGGGGAGGUGUGAAGUACAGCUGACUGGGGACGAUGAACAAAUCAUGAAAACUCAGACUUGUGGCCACAUCACAGCUCAUCUGAGUGUAAAGUCAGAAAUAUAACGGGACUGCAAUUA
rnacentral:sRNA from 1 species